rnacentral:rRNA from 1 species
UACGUAGGUGGCAAGCGUUGUCCGGAUUUACUGGGCGUAAAGAGCGCGCAGGCGGUCGAUCAAGUCGCGUGUGAAAGCCCCCGGCUCAACUGGGGAGGGUCACGCGAUACUGAUCGACUCGAAGGCAGGAGAGGGUAGUGGAAUUCCCGGUGUAGUGGUGAAAUGCGUAGAUAUCUGGAGGAAUACCGGUGGCGAAGGCGGCAUCCUGGACCAAUACUGACGCUGAGGCGCGAAAGCUAGGGGAGCAAAGCGGGG